rnacentral:lncRNA from 1 species
AGGGGUUGGUGGAGGUGGUGCUUAGCAAGCAUGUAGAGCAGCAUGAUGUUUGCUGAGGUGAUAUGUGCCCUGAUUGGCUGUGUAGUUCUGAGGGUGUUUUCCUGCUAUGUAUAAGGAUUUAAGUUAGACAGACAAAACCUCUUUGUUCCUUUCUCCUCGAAUUAUAUGCUGUUUUUGUUCAGAUUUCCUCAACAAAGUCGUUAUUAGGACUCCUUUUAUCUGUGGACUCUGCAUUAUUCAAGGGACUCUGCUAACGCAUUCGACUUGCAAAAGCUUCAAAAGCACCAUGCUGAAAAGUGGGUUGUGAUGUGUUGCAGAGAGUCAUUAUUUGGACAUGUGUUGCUAAAACUCUUUUGAAGCUCGUUCAGUAUUCCAGUACAUCCUAGGGGGAACUUCCAUUGCAGUGGUGUGAGAGCAUGCUGGCUCCAGUGGGAAUAGAGAACAAAGGGCUGUAUUGACUCCAUUAGGCCAGGUGAGCGAGCGACCACUUACCAGACUUUGCAACGAAAGAGUCUCUGAUGGCUUGCCUGGUGGUUGUGAUGUUGUCGCAUCCUCCCCCCCCAAAAUGAAGACAUUAUUAGGGAGUGCUUAAAGACCACAAGAGAGGUGGCCACGUGAAGUUCUCGGGGAAGGGGAUUACAAAGUUGUGGGACCGCCUUGUCCCUUACCAACCUUAGUGAUGAACUUAAGAGCAGAGCCUGAGUUUUGGACCUGGCAUAUCGGUGUAGAUGGUCCUUCAAAUAAGCUGUUUCCACACUGUUCAGGCUUCAAAGAUUAUCACUUGUAUUUGAACCUGUACAUGGGUGGGUCAACAAUGGAACUGAUACAGGAAUGGUGUGAUUUGAUCAGACUGCCUAGCUCCCACAGAAAAAGCUCAACAAUGGGUAACACAAGCCAGCAGGAGUGGCUUGCAGGGUGGGGCAAUCACCAGGUUCCUGGCUGGUGGGUGCUUGUUGCUUACUGGGAGAGGUGAGGUGGUGGGGAAGUUUGCACAGUGCAUGACCUACCCACCUGGCAUGUAACAGCGACUCACCUUCUAAGAAAGCAGUGUAGCUAUUCCACUGCAUCUGGAAAGCUGCUUCUGCAAACCAUGGUCUGGAAGCCCCUUCAAACCUUGGCUGAAAAAGCCAAGAUUGCACAUUUAACUGAAGUUUCCCCAUGUGCAUGUGAACAAGGAAGCAAUGGUCCAUAUACUGGCUUGUUUGGAAGCCAUUAACCAUAAUUUAAGAACCAAUGGAUCCAGAACUGGCCUCCACAGUCACUUACGGACUGAUUGUUAAAACCGUGUUUAUUGAAGACCAUCUUACUUGGCUACGAGUGAUCGCCAAAGAAGAAGAAGAAGCUGCCCGGGUUCUGAGAUUUUUGGGGGAGGCUCUUCUCUCGGUCCUGUCAUCCUCAGAGGCAUUCUUGGUAGGGACAUGGGAGAGGGCUUUCUUGGUGGCUGCUCCCUCCUUGUCUUUCUGCUGACAGGUGAAGAUCUUCUUCUUCCAUUCUUUUGGAAACUGACUGCUUUUGAUGAGGCUAGUGCCAUGCUGUUUGUGUUGUGAGUGUCUGUAUGUUUUUAACAGAUCAUUUAAAAUUCUGUUUAUGUUUAAUUGUUUUUAAAUGACCCCUUAUGUUUUUAGCUGCUCUUAUGUUAUUUGUAAGCUGCCUUGAGUCCCUGUCAGGAAAAAAAGGUAGGGCAUAAAUAUAUUAUAAUAAUUGCUUAGGAUUCAGCUCUUGAUCUGUUGCUCAUAGGGAGGAACAGAGUGUUUGAGUGCUAAUGCAGACCUCUCAUGCAUCGUCUGCCACAAGGCAGGAUUUUUGACUUUGCAUUCUGUGCAAACAGGGCCACUGUCUUGCCAGGAUUUAUAGCGAGUCUGGAGCAAGGGAGUGUCUCCGAUUCAGUCCUUGGUGGUGUUUGCGACACUGCUAAUGCCCGCCUAACAUCCUUUCUGUCACUGUUAGGAUUCAUAAAAUAUAAAAGCUGCUCUCUUUGCAGUGGCAUCAACAACAACAAAAUGUCUUUCAGAAGGCUGUCUAUUUAUAUAGCUUUACAAUAUCUGAUGGAAGUUUUUAUGUUCUUUGUGAAAUGAAAAAUACCUAAUAAAAGAAGUGUGAAAUCUGGAAUGAUUUCACUUUCUAUUUUGGCUCUUUGGUUUAUAACAUAGUAUAUUUCUCUGCUUUAAUACUGCUUUUCUUCUUGACCUGCCAAAAGUCAUUCAAUGGGGCAUCUUUUUUUAAUAGUGGUGUCUACUGGAUUUUCUGCCAUUGGUCUCUAAAUAUUCUGCAAAUGUUUAUCUUGGUACAUCGUUAUUCGUAAAUGUUUCUAGUUCCUUUAUUUUUAAUCAACAGACCUUUCUGUUGCAUGUAAUGUUGGAUGGCUUUUCUGCAAUUUUAGCAAAUCUUAUUACAGUUAAGUCAAUAGUCAUAUAUAAAUCAAUUAUACUAGGUAGGAUCAUAAGGAGUUAUAACUAUUAUAGAUCUAAUGUUAUGGAUUUUAAGCUUCAUAUCCAGUUCUGAGUGUAACCAGUGGAAAGCACGAAUUUGUUGUGGUAUUUGCAAAGCUUUCUUAUUAAGCUUUCGUGUUUGUUCAACACUUGUAUAAAUCACUCAUAUCAGACAGAUAUGUAUAAAGAGCCCUGUUGGGUCAGGCCAGUGGUACAUGUAGUUCAUCAUCCUACAUCUUUCCUCAGUAAUGGACUGGAUGAGAACCAACAAGCUGAAGUUCAAUCCAGAUAUGACUGAGACGCCCUUGACUAGAUGGUUGGAAAGUUGACUCCUCUUGAUGGGGCUACACUCCCCAGCCAAGCUACACACAUAGCUAGGAUGAAGUUCUGGAUCCUUUGCUGUCACUUAAGAUUCAGGUGGCCUCAGUGGCAUGGAAUACCUUUCAUCAGCUUUGGCUCGGGGCCCAUCUUCACCCCUAUCUGGACCAGGAGGUCCAGAUAGGGACUUCUGUCAUCUAUGCUCUGGUAAGCUCUAGGUUAGUUUACAGCAACACGUUAUACGUGGGGCUGCCUCUGAAGAUGGUUCGGAAACUUCAGCUGGUGCAGAAAUCAGCAGCCAGGUUUCCCACUGGCAUGAGACAGUUUGAGCAUAUGAAGAACAAUCAUGAUAUAGCUACACACCAAAGUGCAAGAAGACCUUUCCUUUCCCUUUCUCUCUCUUUUUUGCUUAGACAAGGGUCAACUGAAACAGGAAACUCUUUUAUUUUUCUUCCCACCCAGGAGGAUCCAGUGGGCAGCCAGGGUGUGUAGAAUCGGUCCAGGGCCUGAAGGUGCUUUUAUUGAGACAAUGUCACCUGCAGUUCAGUGGUUCACCACAUGGGGAGCUGCACAUGGGUCCAGCAGUUCCUGAGAUGAGGAAAGUAUUGGAAAAAUCCAGGGAAGAUAGCCCUAUCAGCAACUUUCAGCAAUGGUGGUUGAAUAGAACUUCCAAACUCGAAGGCAGUAUACCUCUGAAUACCAGACAUAGGAGGCAAAACAGAUGGGGCAAGGCUAUCUUAAGCAUAUGCGCCGCCGGGGUGCAAAGAUCCGCCUGGCGGCGCGCCCCCCCCAGGUUGCCAAGUCCCAGGCACACAAGAGGGUGGAGCUGGCCAGCCGCCUCAGCGUCUCGCUGGCUCGGUCACCCCCGAGCCCGCCGCGGGGCUCCGACUGACGGGCAGGCUCUUCCCUGGACUCAAUUCUCGGGCCCCGGACUCUCCGCCUGGCGCCCCUAAGAGCCCAGCACCUGGGUGCCCCACACCCCUAGUGCCUAUGGGUAAGACGGCCCUGAGAUGAGGGUUACUGCCCUUCUGUCCUGCAUCUGAGUUUCCCAGUGGCAGCAUGCUGAACUAUGAGGGCCUUUGGUUUGACACAGCACGGCCUGCCUUGUAAGAAACCUGUGUUCAAAUUCCUGCUCCAAGUGAAGGGGCUAAUCACAGUCUCAGACUAGCCUAUCUCAGUGAGCUGUAGUAAAUUCCAGGAAGGAAAUACUUCAUCAGGUGUUCUUGGUUGUUCCUGAAUGCCACUUGUACACUUGUAGGAAGUGCCACUUAUGCACUUGUAGGAAGGGUGGGCAUCCUGACAGAUGUGUCCUAUGGCUAAGAACCAUUUCCUCAGGGAAGGGGGGACUCCCCUCUCCCAAGCCCCAGCCAGCAUGACCAACGGUCAGGGAUGAUGGGAGUUGUAGUCCAGCAAUAUCUAGAGAGCCACAGGUUCCUCAUCCCUGUAUCACAUUCUCUCUAUCCCCUGAUUUCUGGUCUGUGACCUUAAUAAAUCCAUCCACCCGUUCAUUCAUUCUCCAUCCCGUGAAACUUUUUGUUUGGCUAGGUUGGCUUGGGUUUUAGCUCUGGCUUAGCUGUAGUCCUACAAUGGUGUCUCUAGAUCAGCAAAACUAUGAUAGUCUUUUUAGUAAAGCUAGAACAGAUUGGAAGCUCUUAAGCUACACUGCUCGCCCCCAUGGCUGAAGUUUAGGGGGGGGAAAUAAUGACCCCUUCACUCAGCUGACCUUUGGUCAUUUUUUUGUUUUAGGUUUCGCAGAUGCCCUU